rnacentral:rRNA from 1 species
UACAGAGGGUGCAAGCGUUGCUCGGAAUUACUGGGCGUAAAGCGAGCGCAGGCGGGCGAUUAAGUCAGGGGUGAAAUCCCGGAGCUCAACUCCGGAACUGCCUUUGAUACUGGUCGUCUAGAGAUCGGAAGAGGUGAGUGGAAUUCCCAGUGUAGAGGUGAAAUUCGUAGAUAUUGGGAAGAACACCGGUGGCGAAGGCGGCUCACUGGUCCGAUACUGACGCUGAGGUGCGAAAGCGUGGGGAGCAAACAGG